CCUACGGGUGGCAGCAGUGAGGAAUAUUGGUCAAUGGGCGCGAGCCUGAACCAGCCACGUCGCGUGAGGGAUGACUGCCCUACGGAUUGAAAACUUCUUUUAUAAAGGAAUAAAGUGUGGCACGUGCGCCCUUUUGUAUGUACUCUAUGUAUAAGGAUCGGCGAACUCCGUGCCGUCAGCCGCGGUAAUACGGCGGAUCCGCGCGUUGUCCGGGUUUCUUGGGUUUAAAGGGAGCGUAGGUGGGUUGUUAAGUCAGGUGUGAACGUUUGGGGCUCAACCGUAAAAUUGCAAUUGAUACUGGCAGCCUGGAGUGCAGUUGAGGUAGGCGGAAUUCGUGGUGUAGCGGUGAAAUGCUUAGAUAUCACGAAGAACACCAGUGGCGAAGGCAGCCUACUAGACUGCAACUGACAUUGAGGCUCGAAAGUGUGGGUAUCAAACAGGAUUAGAUACCCCUGUAGUC
rnacentral:rRNA from 1 species